UCGGAGAGGAAGAGAGAUGGAAGACACACAUUUAGAUAGGUGGACAUGUGCAAGCGGCAAAAGGAUGAUCCCGAGGCACAAAGGAAGUCCUUGUUAUCGGAUUGCAUAUGGUUGGAGAAUUAUGAGUAUGAUACAACGAUGGUAACCUUGUCGAGCCAAUCAUUAUGCUUCAAAAGAUGAGGAGCUUAUUCUUUCUUUUUUUCGUUUUCUUCUUUCUUUCUCUUCUUUUUUUUCCAUUAUGUUUCUUCCUUAUUUUUCCGUUUUCUUCUUCUUCUUCUUCUUCUUUAUUUUUGUUUCUUGUCUUCUCAAAUUCUAGCAUAACAAAUCAUGAUCCAACCAGCAGCUAUCAAGGAUAGAUAGUGCACUGACUCUC
rnacentral:lncRNA from 1 species